rnacentral:lncRNA from 1 species
AAAUGGAGUCGAGAUCAUUGCGGCGGUACGCGUCCAAAGACUACUCGUUAAGAGAUUCUUAUUGGGAUUCCUAUUCGUCAAGGAAUUCAAGACGCGAUAGCCUAGAGCUUGCAACUUCUCGACAUGACGAACGAGAGAGGACGAGUUAUUCAUCGUAUGAUUCAAAGAAGUCCUUCCCGGAGGAUUGUUUCUGAAGAAAUGGACGAAAAGCCUAUGAAAAUAUUUUCUCUUCCUUUGGGGCAAAUGAUUAUCUUUUUGAUUCUUUCGUGUCGAUUGCACAUUGUAAUGAAAUCGAAAAAGUGAGAGAAAAAGAAAAUGAAGAGAAAGAAUUCGAAAAAGAAAUUGAGAUUGUACAAGAGUGCGAGCGAGAAA